UCCGAUGUUUGCACUGAUUGAUAGAUGUCAAAAUAGCAAACACGUUUGAUUGAUUUGUUCAUAGUUUCGGAAUUUGAUGAACUGCCAUUGUUGUGCCAUUAAUUUGUAGGUAGCUAUUCACCAAUCUGAUCAAAUUUAGAAAUCAAGUUGAGUAGCAUUGAUCACCCAGGUGGCCAAUGAUUUGGUCCGAAUGUAUUUUUCUAAUAUAGGGGAACUUACGUAUUCUCGGCAGUUUUGUUCUCUUCGUCAUGGGGGGUUUUUUGAAACCUGUAGGUCAUAGAGUUGGCCUCAAAUCCUUCCCAACCAAGCUGAGUUAUAUCACCAAAUUUCAUGCAAUUCGGCCCACAAAAACCCCCCAUGACGAAGAGACAAACCUGCCGAUAAUAUCCAUCGUCACCCUAGCAUUAUUUCAAAAUUUUUACUCAAGAGCUUCCAUUAAUCUCUUCAACCUAUAUUGCAUAAUCUGCAAUCUCCAAUAUCCAUCGUAUCGUAAACCAUCGUCUUUAUCAUAUAGACAGGUCUUACUAAAUUUUUUGGUCAUCAUUUUUAGCCUCUGAACAACUUCUCAUAAAAUCAUAUUAAGGGGUUCCAAGGGGUUUUAUCAGGACUUCAUCUUGUGCCUCAAGUUUCGUUCGUAAAUAAUGUUAUUUCGUACAGAGUUGAUGCUAUUGAGCUCCUAUCGAAACUAAACUUUUACUUGCCCUCACGAUAUUUGCGUCAUCGAGAGCUAUUUUCUAUUAAUUUUCAUCGUACUGUCUAGAGUAAAAUGUUGCAAAAGUUCGAGUGGGGCAAAAGUUUCUUCUGAAGCUUUCGAGCUCAAUUCAAAAUAUUACUUUUGGGUGUCAAGGUUGUUCGAACGAAGCCUUUUUGAAAAAGAGUCUUUCACUUCAAAAAUUAUGAAAAUUAAUCAAUAUUUCGAAAAGUUAUGACAAAAAGUUGGUUUUUGAUCAAAAAAUUGUAAUAUGCGAUGAUCCUUCCAACGCAUGGAAUGGAAUUGUAAUGAAAUCGAAUUCAAUAUUUUAUUUUGGGGCGUAACUAGGUAUAUUUUGAAGAAGCUUUAGCAUGUAUAACUUUUUGCAAAAAAGAUUUGGAAGUCAUAUUUUACACAUAGUGGGGCAAAAGUUCGAGUCAUGUGGCAACUUUAGGUAAAAACCUAAAAUUGCGCAAAAUGUACAUAUGAUCUCUAAAAACGAUGGAAUUAGUGAGAAAAUUCGAUCAAAGUUGAAAACAAAUGUUGUUUUAUCUGAAUUUGGCGGAAAACUUCUAAUUUUUGGUGUAGUAAAUUUAACCCUGAUUUGGGUAAAAUCCAAAUCGAACUUUAAAGUGUAUUCCAGUUCCAACAUCAAAUAUUAAUUGGUUUUAGGUAUUCCUAUUACCAAAGUAUCAAAAAAGUGUGCUACGGUUAGCGAAAUUCCACAAACACAAGAUUCGAACUUUUGCCCCAAUGGUGGGGCAAGAGUUCGACUAAGACGCACACAUACAAAAAGUGUUGUAACUCAAAAUUAAGAAGACAUUUGGCGUAACUUUGUCCAGCAAAAUUUUAGCUGAUGGAUGGUAGAAUCACCACACGGUAUUCAUUUAUUUUUAUCUGCUUCGAUUUUUUGAGAAAAAUUGAAUUUUCAACUAGGGUCGAACUUUUGCCCCACCUUACUCUAUAACAAAUUUAAGCCCUCAAAUCAAAUGAUGCUUGUUUAUAAUAAACACAGUGAACAAAUUGAUUUCACAUUUUCCCAGACAAGACUUAAGGAAUACUUCAGAUCAUUACGUUAACGAGAUGUAAAUCUGCAAAUCAUCUGCGUACAGAUGAUAAUUGCACUUCAGAACAGCUGGAAGACUAUUGAUGUAGAGCAUAAAGAGAAGGGCGCUUAAGCAGGAGCCUUGUGGUGUUCCAUCCUUAACAUCGCGUAUAUUGGACUGGCUGUUACCGACACGAACAGUCUGGCGUCGAUUUGCAAGGAAAGAUGAUACUAGAUCGCAUGCGGUUCGUGAGAAACGAAAUUCCUCGUUGAGUUUGUUCCUUAGUAUACGAUGGUCGACGCAAUUGAAUGCCAAUGAAAAAUUGACCAAAACCAUCACGGUGCACCUAUUCUCAUCGAAGUUUUCGUAGACGUCGUGGAUAACCUUCGCCAAGGCAGUGGUUGUACUGAAACCCUUACGAUACCCAGAUUGGUUAUGCGCUAGUAGCUGAUGAUCAGAAUCAUUUAGGUACCCGGGUAGAGCUUAAUGGCAAAAGAAUGGCAAAUUUUACCAUUAAAACAGAAUGUUUGAAUGGCAAAAUGUGUUAUUUGUUUGUUUGAAAUAAGAGUUAAAAUAACAAAAAUAAUAACAAAAUUUUGGUAGCAGAAAAACAUAAAAAUAACUUAUUUUGCCAUUGUAAUAACAAAGUAAUGGUAAAGCAUGCGGAUUAAAUUGAAGAACAAAAUAAGUUAUUAUUGAGAUAUUGAUAACAAAAUAAGAUCCAAAUUAACUGUUAUCGGUGAAUAACAAAAUAUGACAUUCUUGAGUUAUUGAUAACAGAAGAAGAACAAAUUUAGCUGUUUAUGUAGCGAUCAAAAUAAUGGUAGGUUUAGUUAUUCAAAUUCAAUUUUAAAAUAAUGGUAGAUUCAGUUAUUAUUUCAAAGUAGCAGAAGAAAGGUAAAAUGAGCUAUUUCUUUUUUUUUUUCUUCGAUAAAAUUUAAGUUCAUCCAUCAAUGUAAAAACAGUUUUAUUUUGUGGAAAUUAAAAACUCAAAACGAAACGAACUUAAAAAUCAAAUUCACUUUGAUGAACGUAGCCACCGUUAUGCUUGAAAUAUACAAUAUAAUAGUUAAUGGUAUACAUAUUAAGAGUAAAAUAUGUUAUGGUGCCUAAUGUUUAUAAAUAAUUUCUCACAAUAUCAAAAUAAUGGCAAAUUUAGCCAGGAAUGUAAAUUAUGUUAUUGUUUUGAUAUUUUAUACAAUUCAUUAUAAAAGGUGCUAAAUUGCAAGUUUUACCAUGAUAGUAAUUUUUGUAAUUGAUGUGUUAUUUAACAUUAAUCAUGAAUAACAUAUCAAUGACAAGAUUUGCUAUGAUUGUAUAUUUUGCUAUUGAUUAGCCAUUUUAAGUUUUUCAUAAUAACAGAAGAAUGGCAAAACGAGAUAUGAUGGCAAAACCAGUUAUUAUUUUGUCCUUUGUUUGCCAUUAGCCUCUACCCGGGUAAUCGCAGAUUUGGCUCAGUAGAAUCUUCUCAAACACCUUGGAAAUAACUGGCAGCACGCUGAUAGGGCGACAAUCCUUCGGCUGAGUCGGGUUAGAUGUUUUUGGUAUUGGCGUAACGAUGGCGGUUUUCCAGAGUGCAGGGAAACUUUGUGUACGUAUAAUCUCAUUGAAAGGGUGGCAAAGUACUGGGAGUAUGAAGGGACACAGUGCCUUGACGAAAGAAAUUGGAAUGCUGUCGUUUCCUGCUGCGUUUGUUUGUAUUUCAAAAACUUUCCGGCUAACUUCGGUGACAUUUGUAUUACGGAAACUGAACCCGACUGCUCCUUAGCCAAUCGCAGUCUUAUGGGAGGGUUCACCUAAAUGCAUUUCGAUUUCUAUCUUGGAGCUGAUAGUGUCCUUCUGAAAAGAACUCCACGUCAGCAUCAGCAGAAGGCGAGCAUUGUUUUGUGUUGUUGUGGAUUCCCUCUCUUCUCAGGUUGCACCACAACUUUUUAGUUGGUUCGAAAUGAAGUUCAGCGUAACGUUUUUUGGCGGCAGAGAUCAGUGAGCUUGCUCUGUCAUGUUUUCUGGUGAAGUCUUGCCAUUGGGGGACUCCUUUUCAUCGGUUUGGGUUGCGCGAGUAUAGUUUGAAAGCCGACUCCUUCAGUUCAACAGCACGUUUUAUUCCCGGGGUGAUCCAUGGGGUGCGCUUAUCGUGUACGACGAUAGUUUUUUUCCGGUGCAUGCACUUGCAGCAGUCUCUCUAGUUUGGUGGAUAUAAUCGUGAUUUUCGUGUUCACGUCGGUGGACUCGUAGUACUCUUGCCAAUCGUUUUCCUGAAAAUCACCUUGUAAUCUCAACGUGUCGAUGUUUCGGAAGUUCCUUACACGUAGGGUAAUUCAUGUAUUUUGGACAGGCUGAGGACAACGUUGAAAAAAUCGUCCCCUAGCUUUCUUAGAAAGCAAUUGAUUAUUUUGCAAAGUUACCAAUACGCUUAUAAUAUGAUUGUGCUUUGCGUUCCUGGUGACAAAAACCUUAACGAAAGCAUUUUAAGCUGAUAAAAUCGCAAUUUCCGAUCGCCUGUAAGAAUUGCAUUUUGGACACCGAAUAUAUGUUUUGGACACCCUGAGGUAUAUAUAAUUUGGACAGGGCAAUUAUCUCAACGUUUAGCCAUGAAUACUGCUGAAUCAUGGAAGUAGCAUAAAUCAACAAAUAUUUUCUUACAAAUAAUCAAAUUUCUCCGCUUAACAGGCAUCUAUUUUGAUAACUAUUACAGUUUUUGUUAAAAUCGAGGAAAUAUCGCCAGACCCACAGAAUACGCCUCCAAGUAUGCAAUCGCAGUGCAUCCCCAUGUAGUUCGUCAGAUGACCAAAAUAUAUUUACAGUAGAAAACGUGUAAUGUAUUUUGGACACCACCUAUUUUAAGCGUUCUAGAUGAAUGUUAAGAGAUUGGCUGCCUAAUGCUUCUUUAUUGGACAUGUUUCAAUGCAAUAAGUCUUUUAAAUUUCUUACAAUUAUUAUUUCAACGAUUUUCAGGUGAAUAUUGUGUGUGACUGUGAAGUGUACGUCGUCUUGCAUACCUGUGCAUUUGAGGGGUUUUAGUGAAAUAAUUUACAUUUUCGAUAAUUUUGAAGUAAAUUCUUAAUUGUUAAGCGUAUUUUCAACGUAAGACAUCAGAAUAGGAUCUAUUUGAUCCAAUAAUCGAUAUUGAAAAGUAUCUACUUUUAUUAGCUCUCCGGAACAAGGCAUACAUCGCCGUGCAUGUCCAAAUUAUAUACAUGUCCAAAUUAUAUUUUUUACCCUAUCACUUGUGGAGGUGUUUUCUGAAAUCUGAUGUCGGUUAGCAGGAAGACUAUUUCGUGAUCUGAGUUAUUCGCGGUGACGGCUGUAGAUUUUCUUAUGAACUGAGGGCAGUCGGUAAUUAAGAGAUCUAUGGUUGAUGUGCUUGAAUCCGUGAUUCUUAUAGGGCCGGUGGGAAGGACGGUUAAGUUGAAGGUAUCGGUGAUCCGAUUUAGUGCUAGUAGAUAGAUUAGUGGUGGUUAACGCUGCAGAUACAUUGAUCCUGUCAAAACCGAAAUCUAGCAUCUCGAUCAGCAGCUUUUCGUAGCAUUGGCUAAAGUAUUGAUUCGAGCCAGAUGGAUUGUAGACGACACAAACCCCGAUAUUUAACUCGUUUAUUGCAACUUUCACUACUAAAUAGUCGACUCUAGGAGCGAUAGGCAAGGCAGGAUCAAGAUAUGACUUGAUGACUAGGGUAGCUUUGAGUCCUUUGCUUACAUAGAAACCUACACCUCCGCAAGAUUUGUGUCCGCGCCCGCGGUCGGUAGGCAGGGAGUGUUUGACAAAAUUGAAGGCAGGCACUCGAAUGGGACCCAUCGGAGCUGACGAUUUGAGUUUGGUCUCAGUGACAGCGAAAAUAUGACACUUAUUGUUAUCUAGAAGGAGCUUCACGCCGUCAAUAUGGUGCUCCAGGCCUCUGACGUUCAGAUGGCCAAUACAGAGGUUUGAGAAAACGGGUCUGGUCAUUAGGUAGGUUGUUGUGGAGCGUCUGCGUGGAGUUGUUAGUUGGAAGAGGAAACAGAUGCAUUCAUAGAUACAACGUCGAAGAAUACGGAGGAGUUAUCCGAACUUGAUCCAAUGUUGGCGAUCGAAGUAUACUUUGUUCCUUCCGAAAGUAGUAUAAAAACAGCAUCAUUACGGACAAAGACCGACUUCACGAUGCUUUGCUGUUCCAGACGGAUGGCCAGAUUUCGUAUUCGAAAGGUGUUUAACGAGAGGACUUCGUUAAUCGUGAACCGAUAUUUGAGUGGUGGCACAUUUCGAAGCUUCGAUAGAUUUGCAGUAUUGUAUUGUUCGAAAUAAUUUCGCAGGACAACAUCUCUGGAAACCCUUGUGUCGAAAAUAACCGCAAUCGUGGAACUGAUGUUCCGAAGGCUUGACCUUCAAUCGGAAACAGCUGGAUACAUUGGCAAUCAAGUGAUCUACACCGAGGAAAAGUAGAACACUGUUGACAAUGGCACGGGUAUUUUCACCUUCAGAAAAUGGUAUUUUGUUGAUUGCCAGUCUGCACGCGUUAACUGUGUUUAAACAGGUACUUGCUAGCUUGGCUCCUGAUUCAAUCAUUUCGAUGUUUUCUUCGAGUCGAUUCAUCAGUUGAUUUCGGGUCGUAUUUUGACUGUCCAACCGGUCCAUAUUGUUUAUUUUGCUUCGCAGGUGAUCAAUUUGUUUCCGACUGGAUAGUGUAACCGUUCGUAAACUGUUCACGAGGAAUUUUAAAAGCGCGGUGGCUUAAGCGCCACUCUCAAAGAGAGACCACCGGUCGUGUUCAAUUUUGCCCGACUUUGCUAGAGACUUUCUUACUCAGGGACGGUUUUGAACGGUUCAUGGAAAUAACGGCAGAAUUUCUUCGAAAACGCAAACUAAACUCCAACUCUUUCACAGGCUAGAAGAACUUAUGGAAAACCGGAAGGGAUGCUUACUCAUACGAGCGAAAACGGAAUCAAAACGUAACGGACUGUACAACUUCAUUCGUAUUGGACGGGAAAUUCGUAACGGAAUGGAAAAAGAGCAAACAUGGCCAUGUAACUAAAAGCUCUUCACAUACCUGCGCAGGUUUUGGUGUUGCGAUGCUCGAUGACGGGGUGGCGUAGCUCGACGACUCAACGAUGGCGACUACCUCGAUGAUCAACAGCGGCGACAGCAGAAUGGCGGCUGCCGACGAGUCCGUGCUGCGAUUUGGCGCGCAGCGUCGACAAAGGGACCCGUGUGCGGUAUGGCCGAACUACCGGUGCGGAGGGAGUGGCGGCUGGACGGAAGCUUCCGAUUGUUGGACGAACGAGAGAGCUUCGGCGGAUGCCGAGCGAUUCCCGGGAUGGUCUUUCUCCGGUCAAUAAAGGAGCAAACAGAGCCCAGCGACCCGGCUUCGCGUACUAUGCUUCCAGCUAUGACCGAGCGGGGAAUGCCGCUACCUCUAUCUUCCUGGAUACGGACCAGGUUCGAGACGUGCAAUUGGCGACACGCUGCUACGAACCGGCUCUCGUUGAUUCCGGCCCACGGGGUAUGACGUAAGAGGGCCUUACCGUCGGUGAUUGGCGGCCGACGGGAAUACUUCGCUACGGAGAUGAUUGAGCGACUUCACUCGCGCCUCCGUUUGACUGCCUUCUGAAAGGCGGGCCUUUGCUGGGCACACGGGUCGGAAACGAUGACUCACGGACGAAACUGGCGGUUCAAUCCGCCUACGAAACCCCGAUUCGGCGAAGGAUACCGCCGAACGACGACGAAAAAACCAGCCGUACGAAAAAAGCGCUAGGCGCUACACGUCCAACAGGAAUUCAUGUUAAUCUUAAGCACUUUUAAUUUAAUUAUCAAUAAAUUACCUUUUUUCGUAGUUCAAUUCCUUCGAGAAAUAAAUCAA